rnacentral:rRNA from 1 species
CUGGCUCAGGAUGAACGCUGGCGGCGUGCUUAACACAUGCAAGUCGAACGGUCUCUUCGGAGAUAGUGGCGGACGGGUGAGUAACGCGUGAGAAUCUGCCUUUAGGUUCGGGACAACAGUUGGAAACGACUGCUAAUACCGAAUGUGUCGCAAGAUGAAAGAUUUAUUGCCUAAAGAUGAGCUCGCGUCUGAUUAGCUAGUUGGUGGGGUAAAAGCGUACCAAGGCGACGAUCAGUAGCUGGUCUGAGAGGAUGAUCAGCCACACUGGGACUGAGACACGGCCCAGACUCCUACGGGAGGCAGCAGUGGGGAAUUUUCCGCAAUGGGCGAAAGCCUGACGGAGCAACGCCGCGUGAGGGAGGAAGGCUUUUGGGUUGUAAACCUCUUUUCUCAAGGAAGAUAAUGACGGUACUUGAGGAAUCAGCAUCGGCUAACUCCGUGCCAGCAGCCGCGGUAAUACGGAGGAUGCAAGCGUUAUCCGGAAUAAUUGGGCGUAAAGCGUUCGUAGGUGGUUUUGGCA